rnacentral:rRNA from 1 species
UAAGGAAUAUUGGACAAUGGACGAAAGUCUGAUCCAGCCAUGCCGCGUGAAGGAUUAAGGUCCUCUGGAUUGUAAACUUCUUUUAUAUGGGACGAAAAAAGGGAAUUCUUUCUCACUUGACGGUACCAUAUGAAUAAGCACCGGCUAACUCCGUGCCAGCAGCCGCGGUAAUACGGAGGGUGCAAGCGUUAUCCGGAUUUACUGGGUUUAAAGGGUGCGUAGGCGGAUAGGUAAGUCAGAGGUGAAAGCCUGGAGCUUAACUCCAGAACUGCCUUUGAUACUAUCUAUCUUGAAUAUUGUGGAGGUUUGCGGAAUAUGUCAUGUAGCGGUGAAAUGCUUAGAUAUGACAUAGAACACCUAUUGCGAAGGCAGCAGGCUACACAUAUAUUGACGCUGAGGCAC